UGUGGGACUCCUAAUAGCAGGAGCAGAUGUCUCUGACUCUGUUGCCUCCCUUUGGGACCCUGUCCCC
rnacentral:miRNA from 1 species